rnacentral:sRNA from 1 species
AUGCCCCAUCCGGCGCUUAUCUCCGGCACUCGUAAUGGCUUAGCUCUUGAAGGGGCGUAAGAAUCAU